CAUGCAUGUCUUAGUACAGGCCGAUUCAAGGCGAGACCGCGAACGGCUCAUUAAAUCAGUUAUGGUUCAUUUGAUAAGUCCCCCAUUACUCGGAUAACUGUGGUAAUUCUAGAGCUAAUACGUGACUGCAAAUACUCCGCCCGCCAGGGAGGAGUGCUUUUAUUAGAGUACAACCAAUCGGCCCUCGGGCCGUCACACUUGGUGUGCUGAUUCUGAAUAACUUCUUGCCGAGAGCACGGUCUCCGCACCGGCUCCGUGUCUUUCGAGUUUCUGCCUUAUCAUGCUGUGGAUUGUAGGCCACGCGCCUACACUGGCUGUUACGGGUAACGGAGAAUCAGGGUUCGAUUCCGGAGAGGGAGCCUGAGAAACGGCUACCACAUCCAAGGAAGGCAGCAGGCACGCAAAUUACCCAAUCCCAGCCCGGGGAGGUAGUGACGAAAAAUAACGAUGCGCGACUCUAUCGAGUCGGCGUAAUCGGAAUGACUACACUUUAAAUCCUUUAGCGACAACCAAUUGGAGGGCAAGUCUGGUGCCAGCAGCCGCGGUAAUUCCAGCUCCAAUAGCGUAUA
rnacentral:rRNA from 1 species